GGGGCAGGCCACUUCCUCCUCCGCAGGGGCUGCGCCCCAGAACCUGCUGGACGGGGGCGAGGACGGACGGACCAGAUGGGCAGAUCCUGGGCGACCCCCGGCCGACUCUGCCUCCUGGCAGCUCUGGGCCCGCGGCCUGGCCAGGCGCAGCCCUUGGCCCAGAGGAAGCCGUGUCUGGUGGGGCUGGGGGCCGCGCUGGCCUUCCUCUUCCUCCUCUUCGUCCUCGCCCUGGGCCACGCCAUCUGCUGCAGCGGGUCCAGCGACAGCGACAGAGAGAAGGAAGAGGAGACUGUGAGAAAGAAGGAGGAGGAGGAGGGAGAGGACGACUGGGGGCUGGAGCUGGAGGAGCUGGAGGAGCCUGGGAGCCAGGAGAGGGCGGCGAGCUCCUCCACCUGAAGGCUUCCCGCCCGCCUCCUCCAGGCAGCCCCCCAGGGAUGCCGCAGCGUCUCCUGCGCACCCUGGUCCUGGGGCCGGGAGAAUGACUCCAUCUGGGGUUCGGGACAUCUUUCUUUACCCGCUGCCUGAUUUCUUCUCCCACCCUGAACGUGAACGUGGAGCUGGCUGCCUGGGCGAGGAGGGCCCCUCCCACCACGCGCUGAGUUUCAGGGGACCGUCCUGGAAGCUGCGAGUCCCAGGGGCUGGGCUGUGGGUGCACAGCCUCGUCACCCCCUCUUCCAGUCCUGCACUCCCGGUGGGCGCUCCACGGUAAAGGAAUUGGAGUCCCAGCUUCCUUGCUGUGUGACCCCUGGCAAGUAACUUAACCUCUCUGUGCCUGUGUCCUGUCCUGUAAAAGGGGAGGAUGAUAACUAGGUCUUGCAUAAAUUGUCACGAGGAUUAAACGGAAUAAUGUCUAGAAAACUCCUGAGGGCAGAACCCAGAACUCAAAAGGUAUCAAAUAAAUGUCAGCUUUGGGGGUGCUGAAAUGGUGGCAAUGGGGGGAAGAGCGAAUGAGCCUCCCCCCUCAGACUUGGGGGGUCCCGAGGGUCAGAGGGUGGGUUUCCAGACCGCGGCUCCGGGAGCCUGGAAGUCUUCUGCCCCCGGGCUCCUCCUGCCAGGUCUGGGGGUGCCGGGUGGGGGGCGGUGCUGAGGGGGGAGGGAGGCAGGGGGAGGGGAGGUCUGGUUUGGACCCCUCCGUUUCGGCAGGGGCGGGACUUCCCCGCCAGGGGGAGGCUGCAGAGAUGAGGGGGGCGUUUUGGGGUUGUCACAAGCCUGUCCCCCCUUAUUUGGCACUCGGAUGGCAGACAGCCUGCCGCGCUGGGACAGCCGCCCACUGCUUCCCCGGGGCCAGAGGCUGGGAAACGCUGAGGCUUUCGGGAGAUCAAAGGCCACGUGGACCCCCCAGCCCGGCUGAGCCCCCCACCCCCAGAUGACCCCCCUCCGGACAGAGCCCCCCACCUCAUCGGAGCCCCCCACCCUCAGAUGACACCCCUCCAUAUGGAGCCCCCCACCCCAUCUGAGCCUCGCACCCCCAGAUGAUCCACC
rnacentral:lncRNA from 1 species